AAAAUCAUCUGCACAGCCUCUGGGAAUCUAAGAAUUGGUGAAAAUUCAGCCUUUAUCUGCUUGCUAUUCCACAGCCCCUGGAAAUGUAUUUUUAAUUGAUUGUGUGGUACAAGGUGGACAAGCAGAGCCUGCUUUGAAGAAAUGUGGGUGUCAAUACGGAAAACAGUUAAAGGCCUCCUUCAGCUAGUGGAAGACCAUUAAAAGGCUUUCCUGGAGCCUCCUCUUCUCCAAGGCUGAAUAAUCCCGACUGUCAGCCUGACUCCCUUUCCCUCAUAGGAGAGGUACUCCAGAGCUCUGAUUGCCUUUGUGUCCCUCCUCUGUACUUUUUCCAACAGAUCUGUGUCCUUUGUAAUCUGGGGGCCCCACAGCUGAACCCCUGGCAGCUGAAUCUGCUUCCUUUGAUGUAGCUGAGAAUAUGACUGACUUUCUGAGCUCAAAAUUCCGUUCAGUCUGCUAUUCAGCAAUUGAAAUGCAUAAACUGAAAUAAAACAGAAAACAAAACAAAACACUUUGGAAGGAAUAGAAAUACUUAAUCAUCUAAUGUAGUAUAACAGAUAGAACUACUGAUGUGAGGAGGUUAUUCCAUAAAUGGCAUCAGGGGUGUUUUCUGCACAUGGUUCAGGAAUGGCAGGUACUACUACUGUCAGUAGUCUGGGCUCUAAUUAACUGUGUUUAGUCAGUCCUAAUGUUUGGACUUGGACACAUUUUCAUUUCAGAAUUUCUCAUCAUCUUCAGUUUCUCUAGUCAUUUUUUUCCACUAUGAACUUAUGUGCAAGAGUGAGGAAUUCAAAUUAAUUUUUAAGAAGUUCUUAAUAUAGGUAGUGCAUGAGGACGGACAGAAUUCAAUUUGGUUAAAUGUAAGCUAAUGCAUAUUUGCAAAAAAUAGUCUGAAUUUCUUGUAUAUUCUCAAUACUCUAAUGUCCUGAUUCAGUGAGCAUCUGAGUGCUCCUGAGAGGAUAAAGCAUAUUCCUUUCUUGUCAGGAGUUAAGGUUCUCUUUGCACUCAGUCUGCAGUGAAGACCUUAGCACUGAACUUUUGUUCCUCUUCAGAAAAAAUCUAAGUGACUGUUUAAUGAAGUCACCUUCUUGGUGUGUUGCAGCAAACAGAUUGCUUGCAUGAAUUACAGGGACUGAAUAAAUGACCGAAUAAAUACAAUAAUCCUGUUAUAUGAAGCAAUGCUAUGAGUUGAACAGUCACUGAGUCCUAUUUUCAUGUGAUCACUUAGAAAAAUUAAUACUAGAAAGUGGAAUUUUGAAGAAGGUUAAUGAAAGCAGCAAAUGAUAUGAUAGAAUUUGCAGGAAACAAGUCAUCAAAAAGCAGGUCUCUC